GUGCUCACUUUGGCAGCACAUAUACUAAAAUUGGAACAAUACAGAGAAGAUUAGCAGGGCCCCUGCAUGAGGAUGAUGCACAAAUUUGUGAAGCAUUCCAUAGUUUU
ensembl:snRNA U6 U6 spliceosomal RNA